rnacentral:lncRNA from 1 species
GAAACACUUCCUAUGCAGGCUGGGGUGAAGGUGUCCUUCCUGCUCCUGGGUUCAGUGAGGAAUUUAGAUGUCUUUCUCAAGAUUUUCUGAGAGGACAAAAGGCGAUUACUGUGGACUCCUCUAAAGGCUGCAGCCAUAAGGAAAAAAAAAUUUCUAAUCUGAAGAAAUGAAACGAAGCUACAAAUGAAACAAAGAAAUGAAA